rnacentral:rRNA from 1 species
UGAGGAAUAUUGGUCAAUGGGCGAGAGCCUGAACCAGCCAAGUCGCGUGAAGGAAGACUGUCCUAAGGAUUGUAAACUUCUUUUAUACGGGAAUAACGGGCGAUACGAGUAUUGCAUUGAAUGUACCGUAAGAAUAAGCAUCGGCUAACUCCGUGCCAGCAGCCGCGGUAAUACGGAGGAUGCGAGCGUUAUCCGGAUUUAUUGGGUUUAAAGGGUGCGUAGGUUGUUCGGUAAGUCAGCGGUGAAACCUGAGCGCUCAACGUUCAGCCUGCCGUUGAAACUGCCGGGCUUGAGUUCAGUGGCGGCAGGCGGAAUUCGUGGUGUAGCGGUGAAAUGCAUAGAUAUCACGAGGAACUCCGAUUGCGAAGGCAGCUUGCCAUACUGCGACUGACACUGAAGCACGAAGGCGUGGGUAUCAAACAGGAUUAGAUACCCUGGUAGUCCACGCAGUAAACGAUGAUUACUAGGAGUUUGCGAUAUACCGUCAAGCUUCCACAGCGAAAGCGUUAAGUAAUCCACCUGGGGAGUACGCCGGCAACGGUG